CAAAUUAUUUUUCGAUUUUGAAUGUCAUACACAUCCACACGAACGUAUAAAAUAUGUAACAUUCUAUAAAUGUUUUUAAAACAAUGUCGUAAUGAUUAUAGCAUUUUUUGUAACGUUACCUUUCAAGCCUCAUCCACUGCAGUCCCCUUUUCACAUGUACUUCGGGAACCUGGCUGGGUGAAUGACUUCGUUGCUGUGUUGAAGAAAUGGUGAUUGUUCAUGCAUUUUGUGCACACAAUUUGAUAUCUAAAUGUAUGUCGUGUUUUCAAAGGCUUAACUGGAUCUGCUGGGCUAUAUAGUUAGCCUGUGAACCUUACCAAAUCAGCUUGGGAGCUUUUAGCUGCAUACUGAGCUUGCUUGCUAACACUACGAAAAGCCUUCAACUAUGCAGUUGCUAUGAAUGCAUGGUCAAGUGUCAUAUAUAGCUAGCUAUCUUGGUAAUUCAAUACUCCCUAUGCUAAGAUAGUUAUAGUGAACGUACAUCAUACAUUACAGGGAUAGAGCUGUCAUUAAAUCAGUUACAUCAUGUGUGUAACUUCAAUCCAACAGAAAACUCGAAUUUGACCACCAUGGCUGCCCAGGUAACAGAGGCAGACCAGAUUAAACGAGGAUACUUCUCAUACACAAUUCAAUCUGGUUUAAUCUGAGUGUUAAAUGAACACAUUCAUAAAUAUUGUUUCUGUUCACAGUUCAAAUAAUUUCUUGGCCCCUACAAUAAACUCAGAGAACUGCUUCAUGGACUGUGAGGGAUUUUACCACUAGAGAAGUAAAGCCAGAGUCCACCUGUUCAGAGAGCUGCCCUACAGAAGUACAUGAAUGACCCAGCGCAUCCAGGAGUACCACAUCCAACAGAACGAAGCCCCGGCACAGAAAGCAGGUUUAAUGGGACCACGGUAGAGAACUACCGCCCUUUAAACAUGGACAUAACGCUAGUAGUCCCCCAUCCAGUCUGAUCACAUGAUCUACACACCACCAUGAAGCUGUUAUUUGUGAAUCAGCAGAUGGCUAACCUACAUCUACUUCUCAGGCUGACUGCUUGGACACUUCUAACCAGAGGGCUGUUAUGAGCCCUCACAAGGAAAAGCCUGAUCAUGAUGUAUGAGAUCAUGCUGAGUUUUGAUCCAGGCAGAAUGUGAAUGGUUUAUUAUAGUGUAUGUAAGGUAUUCUUUUCUGAUGUGAAUUAAGAAUAACAUACUAGCAAUAACUUAGGAAAAGGGACCAAUUAACACUCCCAUAAAAAUCCAUAUUUGUUACUAAAUGUCUUGUAACAUUGACCAGAUGUCCCCUCUUGUGCAACAGUCAUUAAAUAAAAUGACCUGGGUAUACUGGUAAUUUUC